rnacentral:rRNA from 1 species
UACAGGGGGUGCAAACGUUGCUCGGAAUCAUUGGGCGUAAAGCGCACGUAGGCGGUCUGUUAUGUCGGAUGUGAAAGCCCUUGGCUCAACUGAGGAAGUGCAUCCGAAACUGGCAGGCUAGAGUACGAAAGAGGAUCGCGGAAUUCCCGGUGUAGAGGUGAAAUUCGUAGAUAUUGGGAAGAACACCGGUGGCGAAGGCGGCGAGCCUGGCCAUGUACUGACGCUGAGCGCGACAGCAGUGGGGAGCAAACAGG